rnacentral:rRNA from 1 species
UCUUCCCUCUUUCUUCGUGCCUAAUACAUGCAAGUCGAGCGAACGGACGAGAAGCUUGCUUUUCUGAUGUUAGCGGCGGACGGGUGAGUAACACGUGGAUAACCUACCUAUAAGACUGGGAUAACUUCGGGAAACCGGAGCUAAUACCGGAUAAUAUUUUGAACCGCAUGGUUCAAAAGUGAAAGACGGUCUUGCUGUCACUUAUAGAUGGAUCCGCGCUGCAUUAGCUAGUUGGUAAGGUAACGGCUUACCAAGGCAACGAUGCAUAGCCGACCUGAGAGGGUGAUCGGCCACACUGGAACUGAGACACGGUCCAGACUCCUACGGGAGGCAGCAGUAUGGAAUCUUCCGCAAUGGGCGAAAGCCUGACGGAGCAACGCCGCGUGAGUGAUGAAGGUCUUCGGAUCGUAAAACUCUGUUAUUAGGGAAGAACAUAUGUGUAAGUAACUGUGCACAUCUUGACGGUACCUAAUCAGAAAGCCACGGCUAACUACGUG